UUUAGGCAUAAAUGAAACCUUCACAAUGGAGUUGUCAAAUAAUCUAGAAAAAGAAUAAUCCUGUUUACAGAAAAAAUACACAGAAGAACCUAAUCAGCAACAGCAGCAAACUAAAAACACAGGAUCUUUGUGAAGUGGUUUAUGGGAGAUGGAUGGACCCUGGUUUUCUUUACAAACUGUCUUUAAAAAAAAAAAAAAGUGUGGUAUCUUUUGCAAUUUGCAUGAGUUCACCAUACCUUGUCAGUUGAUGGCACUUUGACACCUGAAGACUUUUAGAAAGGAACUAUAUACAGACAA